CACACUGAAACCACAUAGAUGGGCGUGCCCGUCCCCAGCCAUAAAAAGGGUGAUGUCAGCGAUCGAUUCAGAUCAUCCUGCAAUAUAAUUGGCUAAAGGUAGUGUUGUAUCCAACUUAGAAAAAAAUCAUGUACAGUUUUGAGCCACGAUUUAAUACAGUCCUGACACAUUGACUGUGUAAUGCCAAUAAUUAUUUGUCAUUAAUUUUUAUAGCAAAGCGGAUUUAGCAAAUGUGACAUUUGCAACCAAGUUUGACCUGGAGCGUUCAAAAUGUGGAGGGAGAUGUGGGUUCACUGAGGAAUAUACAUUUCAUUUGAGCCGUGUUCAGAAUUCAAGAUUGAUUUACGUACUACGGCCAUAGAGAAGAGGCUAGAUCUAAUCCAGAGAAAUGUGUUACCAUUAUCAUUGACGGUAUGGAUCAAAGCAAAACCAAUCUUCCAUGUCUCACACAAACGCCUAAAUUGGUUCAAGGUUUGCAACAGUUGAGAACUCACAUAUCCGGGGCACUUGUUCAUACAAGAUCACCUCAUGGAAAGCUGGCUUUUGCAUAUUAUUAUGUAGACAUGCUGCAGUAUCCCCACGAUUCCAACCUGACAAUUCAUGUGCUGUUGUCAGUUCUGAAGGAGAUGAAAGAUACGUGUUGGGUUUUUGUGCCCUUCUGGUAUCCAGAAAAAUGUUCAAGAAGGUGAGGGUAAACUUUCUACCCAUCAGUCAUAGAUCUACCCAUGAACACAUCGACCAAUUUUUCUCAAGAAUAUCGACACAGCUAAAUCAAACAGGAGCUGAAACUCUACCAGAUCUUGAAGCUCAAAUUUCAGCCUCGAGUACUCCUCCUGCGACAGUUAAAAUAGUGGACAGCAUUUUUGACGUCCGUUCGUGGAUAUCGCCUUGCCUUGAAGGACUUCAUGGUCAUUCCAGACCUCACUGUUUCAGAUUUGUUGCCGACCCUACUGUAUUAGCAGAAGACUCAAAAGUGCUCAUGUAUUAUAGGAAUUGGUGUACUUGAUGCUUGGUGUGAAACGGAAGAGGCCUUGGAAAUUCUUAUGGACGUACCAAGUGGAGUACCUCCAACUCUGCAGCCAUCUGACCUGAAAAUUGAUGUACCUUUGUUUUAAGAAAAUCGAGUGAUUUUGUCAUAGUUCCUAUUGUGGUGGUGAACAUGUGCACUGCACUAACCACGUCUGCAGGAAGAUGCACUAAAGUACAAACGAUGGCUUACAGAAACUGCUGGUGGGAUCAACUAGACAUCAGAUCUAUCUACCAUGAUGAAAAGCAAUCUAGUGAAUGGAUUCAUAACUUAGAAGAAGGAAAUUCAAACGAAGAACCGUCUAUAGUGGACUUCUGAGAAAUCCAGAUUUAGCUGCUCUCUUUGCUGCAGAGGACCAACCCUGCAAGCUCCAGGUAGUAGUCCUAUUCUGAAAACAUCAGUGGAGGAUGAAAAAUUACUCGACAGUGUAGAAGGCGAAGAAUACAACAGCCUGAUGGAAAUGGUGACGGAGAGCGGGGACAUUGCCGUGUCCAAAUAAAAUAGUGAAGUAAGUAACUUCAAUGCAAUAAAACCUUAAAUCUUUGCUUUGCUAUUUAUAGGCUGUACCAAGACCUAGUAUAGUGUUAGGCAAACUGAUGAAGAGGCGUGGAUAGAGGCAAGAAGGAGGAGGGAGAUAGAGAUCGAGGAAGACAGGGCGUGGAGGGAGGAACGACAGAGGAGGAGAGAGAUUGAGAUGAAGAGGGUGUGGAGGGAAGAAAGAAAGAGAAUGAGGGAGAGACUUUGGAAGAAGAAAGCAAAGAGUGGGGGAGAAAUAUAACAUCAAUAUCUUGCUGCUCGGUUGUAAUAAACCAAGCCCAAGACCAAGGACAACAACGAGGGGGGAAAAAAUGGAGGGGAAGGGUAAGCCGUAAGGGACCUGGACGUACCCUCCCGCUGAAACACUUGACAUAGAAUAACUGAUGC